AUGCUAGCCAGACACUAUCCGUUCGCUAGCCAGAUACGAGUUGGACAGAGGUUGUAUAUUGGUCAGAUAAUAGCCGGCCUCUGGUCAAAUAACGACCAGACGCUAGCUGCUCUUCGCUCCGCAUUGAGUGUUGCGCUCCUCCCUCCAUGGCUCCCUGCCCGUUGCUGCUCUCCACCAACCGCGCUGCGUCCCAGCACUCGGCCGUCGCUGCUCCUCCAACUACGACGGCCGGCUCCUGCUACGCCGCACCUCACUCCGUCCUCCCGUGCAGGCCGGCUUCGGCUCAGCUUCCUGCGUUCGCUCGCGGCUCUGCCCCGUCCGGCUUCCGGGCUCCGCACGUGGCUGCGUCCGCCUGGCCUCCGGCCCGUACGUGCCGGCUCCCGCGCCUCAGCCGGCGCCCCGUCCGGCUCCACGCGCUUCGCUGACUCCGGCUGCGCGCCUCUCGCCCGUGCGGCGCCAAGGCCCCAGCGCUGGCCGCCUCCUCCCCCGCGCGCUCUGCUUCGGCCUCCUGUGCCGAGCGCCCGCUCCGCGCUCCCGCCGGUUCCCCGCGCGGCCCAGCCGCCUCCGAGGCCGGCCUCCCGCGACAUCCCGCGCCCUCCGUGCCGCCCGGGUCCUCCGCGUCCGUUCCCGACUCCCGAGCCGCCAACCUGCCGGCUCCAGGCUCCUGCCGGGUCGCCUCCUCUUGCGCCAUCCCGCCUCGGCCUCGGCCGGCUCCGGCUGCGCCCACCCGGCCUCACUCUCGCGCGCCCCGGCCUCUCCCGCGCUCUAGAGCCCCCCUGGGAUCUCCUCCGCCUGCCCCGUCCGCGUGGCUCUGCUCCGCCACGGAUCCCGCUCGCCGCUCCUCCCCGCGUGCGGCCCCGGCCCCGGCCUCCUCAGUUCGGCUGGCAGCGCCGCCUCGUGCCGGCCUCCACCGAGCGCGGUCGCGGCCCGGCUCUCCCGCAGUCGGCCUUUGCCCGUCGCCAGCACCCGGCUCCCCCACAGCCGGCCUCCGCCAGUCGCCAGCACUCGGCCUCCCCGCAGCCGGCCUCCGCACGGCCGUCCUCUCCCGCGCCUCGGCCCGCCUCCCCCGCCUCUGGCUGCGCCCAGUGCACUUGCCGUGCCGGCUCCCGCUGCUGCGGGCUGCUAUGA
rnacentral:rRNA from 1 species